AACCUGCGAAACUCGAAUGAACGAACGGAGAGAUUCAUCGUCAUUCGGCGGCGUACGGGCGUGCGCCUCGAUGUGUGUCUGUCGUUUCGGCGAUUGGACGCUCACGGGACGCGUCCGUCGACGUCCGCCGACGGCGUGCACUUCUCUCUUAGUAAUGCAUCGCGACCCGUUCGGGGUCGGCCUAAGCGCCUCUCGGGAGUCCGUCGGCGAGCGUCUCGGCGCUCGCUGGCGUACCGGGUCGGGUCGCCGGCCGGCCGUUGCGGACGGUAUCAAUGAUGGAUAAUACGCUUCAAUGCGAACCGCGCACGCGUUUACGCGCGUCCGGCCCGACGCGAGCUGACGUCCCGACGGACGUCCUGCCACAGUGCGGACGUACUUCCGGUCCGGUCGUUGCUAUUUGUCGCCGCCGUGCAGUCUCGGACUGUGCGCGUCUCUGUCUGCGAUGAUUCUGUUUCGGGCACUCGCAGGACCCGUCUUGAAACACGGACCAAGGAGUCUAGCAUGUGUGCGAGUCAUUGAGUUUGAUACAACAGACAAAACUGAAAGGCGCAACGAAAGUGAGGGGCGCGCGCGCUCGUCGCGCGCUCAGGGAGGAUGGAGCGUCGGUCUCGGUCGAUCUCUCGCACUCCCUAGGCGUCUCGUUUCCAAUCUGUGAAUGCGGGCGCGCUAUGAGCACAGAUGCUGGGACCCGAAAGAUGGUGAACUAUGCCUGGUCAGGUCGAAGUCAGGGGAAACCCUGAUGGAGGACCGUAGCGAUUCUGACGUGCAAAUCGAUCGUCGGAACUGGGUAUAGGGGCGAA
rnacentral:rRNA from 1 species